rnacentral:rRNA from 1 species
CAGUGGGAGCACGCUUAGGCGUGUGACUGCGUACCUUUUGUAUAAUGGGUCAGCGACUUAUAUUCUGUAGCAAGGUUAACCGAAUAGGGGAGCCGAAGGGAAACCGAGUCUUAACUGGGCGUUAAGUUGCAGGGUAUAGACCCGAAACCCGGUGAUCUAGCCAUGGGCAGGUUGAAGGUUGGGUAACACUAACUGGAGGACCGAACCGACUAAUGUUGAAAAAUUAGCGGAUGACUUGUGGCUGGGGGUGAAAGGCCAAUCAAACCGGGAGAUAGCUGGUUCUCCCCGAAAGCUAUUUAGGUAGCGCCUCGUGAAUUCAUCUC